rnacentral:rRNA from 1 species
ACGCUGGCGGCAGGCCUAACACAUGCAAGUCGAGCGGUAGAGAGAAGCUUGCUUCUCUUGAGAGCGGCGGACGGGUGAGUAAUGCCUAGGAAUCUGCCUGGUAGUGGGGGAUAACGUUCGGAAACGGACGCUAAUACCGCAUACGUCCUACGGGAGAAAGCAGGGGACCUUCGGGCCUUGCGCUAUCAGAUGAGCCUAGGUCGGAUUAGCUAGUUGGUGAGGUAAUGGCUCACCAAGGCGACGAUCCGUAACUGGUCUGAGAGGAUGAUCAGUCACACUGGAACUGAGACACGGUCCAGACUCCUACGGGAGGCAGCAGUGGGGAAUAUUGGACAAUGGGCGAAAGCCUGAUCCAGCCAUGCCGCGUGUGUGAAGAAGGUCUUCGGAUUGUAAAGCACUUUAAGUUGGGAGGAAGGGCAGUUACCUAAUACGUGAUUGUUUUGACGUUACCGACAGAAUAAGCACCGGCUAACUCUGUGCCAGCAGCCGCGGUAAUACAGAGGGUGCAAGCGUUAAUCGGAAUUACUGGGCGUAAAGCGCGCGUAGGUGGUUUGUUAAGUUGGAUGUGAAAUCCCCGGGCUCAACCUGGGAUCUGCAUUCAAAACUGACUGACUAGAGUAUGGUAGAGGGUGGUGGAAUUUCCUGUGUAGCGGUGAAAUGCGUAGAUAUAGGAAGGAACACCAGUGGCGAAGGCGACCACCUGGACUGAUACUGACACUGAGGUGCGAAAGCGUGGGGAGCAAAC